rnacentral:lncRNA from 1 species
UAUUAUUAAAAACCCUCCCUUCUCUCUCUUAACUUUCCUUCUAUCUCACCUAAGUUAAAAUGCAUAAUUUUCUUGCAUGCAAAAAGGCCCUUCCUACAAGUUUCACUAACUAUAUUCACCUUCCUUAACACACUCUACUUCUAUCAUGAUCCACGUUCUAUUAUAACUUCAAACCCCCUCUGCUGGUGAUAACACCCAUGCCCACAUUCACGUUUCCCCCAUUCCCAUUACCUUCAGAAGCUGAAAUGUGCACCCACAAUGAAACCCCACUCUCAUUCGGUCAUAUUUCUACGUAUCCAACUCCCACUCACAUUCCUUGCUCGUGCCAGAACCAUUCCCAUAUCAACUCUACUAAUUCAGUCUAAUUCAUUUACUUCCUUUGUUUCUAAAAUUAUUCUGCACUAAACGUAAAACUCUCGCUCCCAUCAUAUCACCCCAACCCAUCAUCCCUUUCUCUUCUUUAUUUCUCACCACUCGGACCCAAAACUCAUAGCCACUCCCUCACUAACUAUGCGACUAACUCUCUCCAAGCAUCUUCUUGAUUGAAAGAAGAUGACACUCCCAACCCACACGCCCAUCGGUCCAAGGAAGGUAGCACCGAAACUAGGCCUCUAUCCCACAAUAGAGAAGAACGACAUUGCACUCUUGAUUAAGCAAAACAAACAUACUUAAAAAAAAGAAACCGUAAACGUAAGACUCAUCCAUCAUCAUACAGUAUUUAGGCAUCAAGACAGUAUACAAGUAAUCCGAGUUAUUCACAUGCAACAUACGAAUGACUAUACUCCAUUCAUAAAAUACACGCACACUUACAGGCAAGACCAUAACAUACAUGUAAUUUUCACCCCUCCCACCGCUUACCGAUAUCACAAAAUCCAUACAGAUUAUGUCAAGGUUUACUCCCCUUACCUGGUAUUUCCAGCAAAGCAUCUAGCUUCCUCAGUCCUAACAAUAUAGAUUGGCCCUCCUUGCUCACGACAGUCGCUAGCUCUCCUCACGGCUUCACAAUUUCUUCCUUUUUCUUCUUACUACUAUGUGUUAGGGUUUCCUUACAACUCCUGCCGCCCCCUCUACCCUCUUGGUUCUAAAUAUAACACUUCAAAAUUCGCUUACCUUCUGCUCUCCACAGAGCCCUGUGGCCCCCUCCUCAUUAAACAAGAUUUCCUGAUUUAAAACUCUACCGAAAGUUUCCUUUUCUAGUCUACACCUUUCCCUAAUAUAGCUUAUUCCGUUAUGAUUUCGGGUUGUAUUAUUUUUAAUGUUAAUUAUAUGCCUUUACUAUUUCCUAUCUUGGCUAAGGUAAAAGAGACACACUCUACUUGGCAAACAUGAAGAAGCAAAAAGAAAAAAAUAAUAAAAUAAAAAUAAAAAUAAAUAAAACCUACCCCUACAAAUUGAAAGAGGUGAGAGAAGGAAACCCUCUCUCCCACGUGACUACCAUGCAGAGAACCAUUUAAAACCCAUGUUCCAUUCUCUCUCAUCCAAUUGAAAUUUUAAAGCAAAACAAAAACAAAAACAAUGCCCUUGGAAGAUCACAUCAAGUCCUC